rnacentral:rRNA from 1 species
UAUUAUGUACAUGCCUACAAUGUUAAUUCAGUAGAUCUCAUCAAAACUCUGCAGUUACGAUCAUUUGGGAUAGAGUGGUACCAGGAUGGGUGAACUCCUGAGAAGUCCUUGUGUUUUAC